rnacentral:rRNA from 1 species
ACACGUGAGUAACCUGCCCUUGACUCUGGGAUAAGCCUGGGAAACUGGGUCUAAUACCGGAUAUGACUGUCUGACGCAUGUCAGGUGGUGGAAAGCUUUUGUGGUUUUGGAUGGACUCGCGGCCUAUCAGCUUGUUGGUGGGGUAAUGGCCUACCAAGGCGACGACGGGUAGCCGGCCUGAGAGGGUGACCGGCCACACUGGGACUGAGACACGGCCCAGACUCCUACGGGAGGCAGCAGUGGGGAAUAUUGCACAAUGGGCGCAAGCCUGAUGCAGCGACGCCGCGUGAGGGAUGACGGCCUUCGGGUUGUAAACCUCUUUCAGUAGGGAAGAAGCGAAAGUGACGGUACCUGCAGAAGAAGCGCCGGCUAACUACGUGCCAGCAGCCGCGGUAAUACGUAGGGCGCAAGCGUUAUCCGGAAUUAUUGGGCGUAAAGAGCUCGUAGGCGGUUUGUCGCGUCUGCUGUGAAAGACCGGGGCUCAACUCCGGUUCUGCAGUGGGUACGGGCAGACUAGAGUGCAGUAGGGGAGACUGGAAUUCCUGGUGUAGCGGUGAAAUGCGCAGAUAUCAGGAGGAACACCGAUGGCGAAGGCAGGUCUCUGGGCUGUAACUGACGCUGAGGAGCGAAAGCAUGGGGAGCGAACAGGAUUAGAUACCCUGGUAGUCCAUGCCGUAAACGUUGGGCACUAGGUGUGGGGGACAUUCCACGUUUUCCGCGCCGUAGCUAACGCAUUAAGUGCCCCGCCUGGGGAGUACGGCCGCAAGGCUAAAACUCAAAGGAAUUGACGG